AGAGUUUGAUCAUGGCUCAGGACGAACGCUGGGGCGUUAACACAUGCAAGUCGAGCGGAAAGGCCCUUCGGGGUACUCGAGCGGCGAACGGGUGAGUAACACGUGAGUAAUCUGCCCCUAGCUCUGGGAUAGCUCCGGGAAACCGGGAUUAAUACCGGAUACGACCACCUUAGACAUCUUUUGUGGUGGAAAGAAUUUCGGCUAGGGAUGAGCUCGCGGCCUAUCAGCUUGUUGGUGGGGUAACGGCCUACCAAGGCGACGACGGGUAGCCGGCCUGAGAGGGCGACCGGCCACACUGGGACUGAGACACGGCCCAGACUCCUACGGGAGGCAGCAGUGGGGAAUAUUGCGCAAUGGGCGAAAGCCUGACGCAGCGACGCCGCGUGGGGGAUGAAGGCCUUCGGGUUGUAAACCCCUUUCAGCAGGGACGAAGCGAAAGUGACGGUACCUGCAGAAGAAGCGCCGGCUAACUACGUGCCAGCAGCCGCGGUAACACGUAGGGCGCAAGCGUUGUCCGGAAUUAUUGGGCGUAAAGAGCUCGUAGGCGGUCUGUUGCGUCCGCUGUGAAAACUCGGGGCUUAACCCCGAGCCUGCAGUGGAUACGGGCAGACUAGAGGUAGGUAGGGGAGAAUGGAAUUCCCGGUGUAGCGGUGAAAUGCGCAGAUAUCGGGAGGAACACCGGUGGCGAAGGCGGUUCUCUGGGCCUUACCUGACGCUGAGGAGCGAAAGCGUGGGGAGCGAACAGGAUUAGAUACCCUAGUAGUCC
rnacentral:rRNA from 1 species